rnacentral:lncRNA from 1 species
CUAGAAUGCCCCGGUAGAUGUUGGCUUCAUGGUUUCUAAGCUGCUUUUGACCAUACAGUUAUGUCCAAAAACAGAAUUUCAACCUAGUGAAAAAUUUGGUGAAGACCUAAGUGAUAACACUUGGGAAUACAUAUUUGCCAUUGAUCUGCUCUGCUGCCAUCAGAAAUGGAUCUGGACGCAUGAUAACAUCAUAAGUAAGGAGCUGUGGCCUGUGAUGGAUAAGUGGAUAAAAUACAGAAAAGGACAUGCGAACAUUGCAUAUACUCCUGAUAUUAUUAUAGCCUCAAUACUGAGGCUGAUUGGUAAGUUGUCUGUUUUAUUAUUGUUUUUUUCUUGUUAUUGAUAUCUUGGUGGAAGGCUG